AUCUUCCUGUUGUUUCCACAAAAACGAAAAUUAUUAUUGUCUAGUUGAUGGAAUGAAGCCGAACGGUGACAACAUUGUCUUGAUGUUUUGGAAGUAACGGCUUAGUUUGGCUCACACACAAAAUUCUCCGUUCUGAGGCUUGAGGAAAGAAAUAUUUUUUGUCAUGCCAUUACUUAUUUACUUUCUUGCACUCUAUUUUUAACACUUGAGAAGGUUGGCAUUGUUCAUACCCAUAGUUUGCAAUAGGUUUUGAAUUUUCGUCGUGUCUUAGAAAAGCAAAAAUUAUUUUCUUUUAAAAAUUUUGUUGUAUUUUUUACUAUUGGACUCAAAUCUUUUUGUUUCCUUCUAUGAAAGAUAUGCUCUAUAA